rnacentral:rRNA from 1 species
UACGUAGGUGGCGAGCGUUGUCCGGAAUUACUGGGUGUAAAGGGCGUGUAGGCGGGGUGCCAAGUCAGGUGUGAAAUACCGGGGCUUAACCUCGGGGGUGCAUCUGAAACUGGUGCUCUUGAGUGCCGGAGAGGAAAGCGGAAUUCCCAGUGUAGCGGUGAAAUGCGUAGAUAUUGGGAGGAACACCAGUGGCGAAGGCGGCUUUCUGGACGGUAACUGACGCUGAGGCGCGAAAGCGUGGGGAGCAAACAGG